rnacentral:rRNA from 1 species
AACAGGAUUAGAUACCCUGGUAGUCCACGCUGUAAACGAUGUCGACUUGGAGGUUGUGCCCUUGAGGCGUGGCUUCCGGAGCUAACGCGUUAAGUCGACCGCCUGGGGAGUACGGCCGCAAGGUUAAAACUCAAAUGAAUUGACGGGGGCCCGCACAAGCGGUGGAGCAUGUGGUUUAAUUCGAUGCAACGCGAAGAACCUUACCUACUCUUGACAUCCAGAGAAUUUGCUAGAGAUAGCUUAGUGCCUUCGGGAACUCUGAGACAGGUGCUGCAUGGCUGUCGUCAGCUCGUGUUGUGAAAUGUUGGGUUAAGUCCCGCAACGAGCGCAACCCUUAUCCUUUGUUGCCAGCACGUAAUGGUGGGAACUCAAAGGAGACUGCCGGUGAUAAACCGGAGGAAGGUGGGGAUGACGUCAAGUCAUCAUGGCCCUUACGAGUAGGGCUACACACGUGCUACAAUGGCAUAUACAAAGAGAAGCGAACUCGCGAGAGCAAGCGGACCUCAUAAAGUAUGUCGUAGUCCGGAUUGGGGUCUGCAACUCGACUCCAUGAAGUCGGAAUCGCUAGUAAUCGUAGAUCAAAAUGCUACGGUGAAUACGUUCCCGGGCCUUGUACACACCGCCCGUCACACCAUGGGAGUGGGUUGCAAAAGAAGUAGGUAGCUUAACCUUCGGGAGGGCGCUUACCACUUUGUGAUCCAUGACUGGGGUGAAGUCGUAACAAGGUAACC